UAGCGGCGGACGGGUGAGUAACACGUGGAUAACCUACCUAUAAGACUGGGAUAACUUCGGGAAACCGGAGCUAAUACCGGAUAAUAUUUUGAACCGCAUGGUUCAAAAGUGAAAGACGGUCUUGCUGUCACUUAUAGAUGGAUCCGCGCUGCAUUAGCUAGUUGGUAAGGUAACGGCUUACCAAGGCUACGAUGAUCA
rnacentral:rRNA from 18 species